rnacentral:rRNA from 1 species
AGGGCACCACCAGGAGUGGAGCCUGCGGCUUAAUUUGACUCAACACGGGGAAACUUACCCGGCCUGGACACUGGAAGGAUUGACAGAUUGAGAGCUCUUUCUUGAUUCAGUGGGUGGUGGUGCAUGGCCGUUCUUAGUUGGUGGAGCGAUUUGUCUGGUUAAUUCCGAUAACGAACGAGACUCUAGCCUAUUAAAUAGGCUCUCGGCUUUUAAACGCCGGGAGGACUUCUUAGAGGGACAGGUGGCGGUUCAGCCGCACGAAAGAGAGCAAUAACAGGUCUGUGAUGCCCUUUGUUGUCCGGGGCCGCACGCGCGCUACACUGAAGAGAUCAGCGUGCUUUACGUUCCUGCUCCGACCGGAGUGGGGAACCCAGUGAACCUUCUUCGUGAUUGGGAUAGAAGAUUGUAAUUAUUCUUCUUGAACGAGGAAUUCCCAGUAAAUGCGAGUCAUAAGCUCGCGUCGAUUACGUCCCUGCCCUUUGUACACACCGCCCGUCGCUACUACCGAUUGAACGAUCU